UACGGAGGGAGCUAGCGUUAUUCGGAAUUACUGGGCGUAAAGCGCACGUAGGCGGCUUUGUAAGUUAGAGGUGAAAGCCUGGAGCUCAACUCCAGAAUUGCCUUUAAGACUGCAUCGCUUGAAUCCAGGAGAGGUGAGUGGAAUCCCGAGUGUAGAGGCGAAAUUCGUAGAUAUUCGGAAGAACACCAGUGGCGAAGGCGGCUCACUGGACUGGUAUUGACGCUGAGGUGCGAAAGCGUGGGGAGCAAACAGG
rnacentral:rRNA from 1 species